ensembl:snoRNA SNORA66 Small nucleolar RNA SNORA66
GUGCAAACUCGAUCACUAGCUCUGCAUGAUGUGGCAGCAGCUAAGGGAACCAGGUUUGCUAAAGUAAUUGUGGUGAUAGGAAUUACCAGCCUCCAACGGUCCUCAGGAGGUGGCUUAUUCUAUCCUAGUACAGUC